UAGCUCAGUCUGUAGAGCAUGAGACUCUUAAUCUCAGGGUUGUGAGUUCAGGCCCAC
rnacentral:tRNA from 1 species